GUGAGUCAUCGAAUCUUUGAACGCAUCUUGCGCUCCUUGGUAUUCCGAGGAGCAUGCCUGUUUGAGUGUCAUGAAACUAUCAAACUGCAAUUGUUUUUUAUUUAUUUAAAUUAACAAUUGCAGGUUUGGAUGUUGGAUGCUUGCUGGACAACACUACGGAUGGUCCAGCUCAUCUGAAAUUUAUUAGCUGAUCCAAGUAUCAUGGAUUAUCCACUUGGCGUGAUAAGUUAUCACCCGCUGAGGACUUAUCCAGAGAUAAUAAUAAUGGAUUGCUUCUAAUUGUAGAGAUACUGCGGUAUC
rnacentral:misc_RNA from 1 species